rnacentral:rRNA from 1 species
UACGAAGGGGGCUAGCGUUGCUCGGAAUCACUGGGCGUAAAGGGCGCGUAGGCGGCUCAUGAAGGCUGUGGUGAAAGUCCGGGGCUCAACCUCGGAUCGGCCGUGGCGACUCGUGGGCUGGAGCACUGUAGAGGCGGGUGGAAUUCCGGGUGUAGCGGUGGAAUGCGUAGAGAUCCGGAGGAAGACCGGUGGCGAAGGCGGUCUGCUGGGCAGUUUCUGACACUGAGGCGCGACAGCGUGGGGAGCAAACAGG